CCACCUACGGGGCGCAGCAGUGAGGAAUAUUGGUCAAUGGGCGAGAGCCUGAACCAGCCAAGUCGCGUGAAGGAUGAAGGAUCUAUGGUUUGUAAACUUCCUCUCUCUGGGAAUCCCGUGAGGAACUUGUUCCUUUUUGUACGCACAAUCUGAAUACCCAUCGGUCAACUCUGUCCCCGCAGCCGCGGUAAUACGGAGGAUGCGAGCGUCAACCUCCUUUAUUGGGUUUAAAGGGUGCGUAGGUGGUUAAUUAAGUCAGCGGUGAAAGUUUGUGGCUCAACCAUAAAAUUGACGCU
rnacentral:rRNA from 1 species